rnacentral:rRNA from 1 species
CGUCAGGACGAACGCUGGCGGCGUGCCUAAUACAUGCAAGUCGAGCGGACAGAUGGGAGCUUGCUCCCUGAUGUUAGCGGCGGACGGGUGAGUAACACGUGGGUAACCUGCCUGUAAGACUGGGAUAACUCCGGGAAACCGGGGCUAAUACCGGAUGGUUGUUUGAACCGCAUGGUUCAAACAUAAAAGGUGGCUUCGGCUACCACUUACAGAUGGACCCGCGGCGCAUUAGCUAGUUGGUGAGGUAACGGCUCACCAAGGCAACGAUGCGUAGCCGACCUGAGAGGGUGAUCGGCCACACUGGGACUGAGACACGGCCCAGACUCCUACGGGAGGCAGCAGUAGGGAAUCUUCCGCAAUGGACGAAAGUCUGACGGAGCAACGCCGCGUGAGUGAUGAAGGUUUUCGGAUCGUAAAGCUCUGUUGUUAGGGAAGAACAAGUACCGUUCGAAUAGGGCGGUACCUUGACGGUACCUAACCAGAAAGCCACGGCUAACUACGUGCCAGCAGCCGCGGUAAUACGUAGGUGGCAAGCGUUGUCCGGAAUUAUUGGGCGUAAAGGGCUCGCAGGCGGUUUCUUAAGUCUGAUGUGAAAGCCCCCGGCUCAACCGGGGAGGGUCAUUGGAAACUGGGGAACUUGAGUGCAGAAGAGGAGAGUGGAAUUCCACGUGUAGCGGUGAAAUGCGUAGAGAUGUGGAGGAACACCAGUGGCGAAGGCGACUCUCUGGUCUGUAACUGACGCUGAGGAGCGAAAGCGUGGGGAGCGAACAGGAUUAGAUACCCUGGUAGUCCACGCCGUAAACGAUGAGUGCUAAGUGUUAGGGGGUUUCCGCCCCUUAGUGCUGCAGCUAACGCAUUAAGCACUCCGCCUGGGGAGUACGGUCGCAAGACUGAAACUCAAAGGAAUUGACGGGGGCCCGCACAAGCGGUGGAGCAUGUGGUUUAAUUCGAAGCAACGCGAAGAACCUUACCAGGUCUUGACAUCCUCUGACAAUCCUAGAGAUAGGACGUCCCCUUCGGGGGCAGAGUGACAGGUGGUGCAUGGUUGUCGUCAGCUCGUGUCGUGAGAUGUUGGGUUAAGUCCCGCAACGAGCGCAACCCUUGAUCUUAGUUGCCAGCAUUCAGUUGGGCACUCUAAGGUGACUGCCGGUGACAAACCGGAGGAAGGUGGGGAUGACGUCAAAUCAUCAUGCCCCUUAUGACCUGGGCUACACACGUGCUACAAUGGACAGAACAAAGGGCAGCGAAACCGCGAGGUUAAGCCAAUCCCACAAAUCUGUUCUCAGUUCGGAUCGCAGUCUGCAACUCGACUGCGUGAAGCUGGAAUCGCUAGUAAUCGCGGAUCAGCAUGCCGCGGGUGAAUACGUUCCCGGGCCUUGUACACACCGCCCGUCACACCACGGAGAGUUUGUAACACCCGAAGUCGGUGAGGUAACCUUUUAGGAGCCAGCCGCCGAAGGUGGACAGAUGAUGGGGGAC